ACUAUCGUUAACUGAAUACAUAGGUUAACGAGGCGAACCGGGGGAACUGAAACAUCUAAGUACCCCGAGGAAAAGAAAUCAACCGAGAUUCCCCCAGUAGCGGCGAGCGAACGGGGAGCAGCCCAGAGUCUGAAUCAGCUUGUGUGUUAGUGGAACGGUCUGGAAAGUCCGACGGUACAGGGUGAUAGUCCCGUACACCAAAAUGCACAGGUUGUGAACUCGAAGAGUAGGGCGGGACACGUGGUAUCCUGUCUGAAUAUGGGGGGACCAUCCUCCAAGGCUAAAUACUCCUGACUGACCGAUAGUGAACCAGUACCGUGAGGGAAAGGCGAAAAGAACCCCGGCGAGGGGAGUGAAAAAGAACCUGAAACCGUGUACGUACAAGCAGUGGGAGCACCUUCGGGUGUGACUGCGUACCUUUUGUAUAAUGGGUCAGCGACUUAUAUUCUGUAGCAAGGUUAACCGUAUAGGGGAGCCGCAGGGAAACCGAGUCUUAACUGGGCGUUAAGUUGCAGGGUAUAGACCCGAAACCCGGUGAUCUAGCCAUGGGCAGGUUGAAGGUUGGGUAACACUAACUGGAGGACCGAACCGACUAAUGUUGAAAAAUUAGCGGAUGACUUGUGGCUGGGGGUGAAAGGCCAAUCAAACCGGGAGAUAGCUGGUUCUCCCCGAAAGCUAUUUAGGUAGCGCCUCGUGAAUUCAUCUUCGGGGGUAGAGCACUGUUUCGGCUAGGGGGUCAUCCCGACUUACCAACCCGAUGCAAACUACGAAUACCGAAGAAUGUUAUCACGGGAGACACACGGCGGGUGCUAACGUCCGUCGUGAAGAGGGAAACAACCCAGACCGCCAGCUAAGGUCCCAAAGUCAUGGUUAAGUGGGAAACGAUGUGGGAAGGCACAGACAGCCAGGAUGUUGGCUUAGAAGCAGCCAUCAUUUAAAGAAAGCGUAAUAGCUCACUGGUCGAGUCGGCCUGCGCGGAAGAUGUAACGGGGCUAAACCAUGCACCGAAGCUGCGGCAGCGACACUAUGUGUUGUUGGGUAGGGGAGCGUUCUGUAAGCCUGCGAAGGUGACCUGUGAGGGUUGCUGGAGGUAUCAGAAGUGCGAAUGCUGACAUAAGUAACGAUAAAGCGGGUGAAAAGCCCGCUCGCCGGAAGACCAAGGGUUCCUGUCCAACGUUAAUCGGGGCAGGGUGAGUCGACCCCUAAGGCGAGGCCGAAAGGCGUAGUCGAUGGGAAACAGGUUAAUAUUCCUGUACUUGGUGUUACUGCGAAGGGGGGACGGAGAAGGCUAUGUUAGCCGGGCGACGGUUGUCCCGGUUUAAGCAUGUAGGCUGAUUGUCCAGGCAAAUCCGGAUAAUCAAGGCUGAGGUGUGAUGACGAGGCACUACGGUGCUGAAGUAACAAAUGCCCUGCUUCCAGGAAAAGCCUCUAAGCAUCAGGUAACAUCAAAUCGUACCCCAAACCGACACAGGUGGUCAGGUAGAGAAUACCAAGGCGCUUGAGAGAACUCGGGUGAAGGAACUAGGCAAAAUGGUGCCGUAACUUCGGGAGAAGGCACGCUGGUGUGUAGGUGAAGCCCCUGCGGGUGGAGCUGAGACCAGUCGAAGAUACCAGCUGGCUGCAACUGUUUAUUAAAAACACAGCACUGUGCAAACACGAAAGUGGACGUAUACGGUGUGACGCCUGCCCGGUGCCGGAAGGUUAAUUGAUGGGGUUAUCCGUAAGGAGAAGCUCUUGAUCGAAGCCCCGGUAAACGGCGGCCGUAACUAUAACGGUCCUAAGGUAGCGAAAUUCCUUGUCGGGUAAGUUCCGACCUGCACGAAUGGCGUAAUGAUGGCCAGGCUGUCUCCACCCGAGACUCAGUGAAAUUGAACUCGCUGUGAAGAUGCAGUGUACCCGCGGCAAGACGGAAAGACCCCGUGAACCUUUACUAUAGCUUGACACUGAACAUUGAGCCUUGAUGUGUAGGAUAGGUGGGAGGCUUUGAAGCGUGGACGCCAGUCUGCGUGGAGCCAACCUUGAAAUACCACCCUUUAAUGUUUGAUGUUCUAACGUUGGCCCCUUACCGGGGUUGCGGACAGUGUCUGGUGGGUAGUUUGACUGGGGCGGUCUCCUCCCAAAGCGUAACGGAGGAGCACGAAGGUUAGCUAAUCCUGGUCGGACAUCAGGAGGUUAGUGCAAUGGCAUAAGCUAGCUUGACUGCGAGCGUGACGGCGCGAGCAGGUGCGAAAGCAGGUCAUAGUGAUCCGGUGGUUCUGAAUGGAAGGGCCAUCGCUCAACGGAUAAAAGGUACUCCGGGGAUAACAGGCUGAUACCGCCCAAGAGUUCAUAUCGACGGCGGUGUUUGGCACCUCGAUGUCGGCUCAUCACAUCCUGGGGCUGAAGUAGGUCCCAAGGGUAUGGCUGUUCGCCAUUUAAAGUGGUACGCGAGCUGGGUUUAGAACGUCGUGAGACAGUUCGGUCCCUAUCUGCCGUGGGCGCUGGAGAAUUGAGGGGGGCUGCUCCUAGUACGAGAGGACCGGAGUGGACGCAUCACUGGUGUUCGGGUUGUCAUGCCAAUGGCACUGCCCGGUAGCUAAAUGCGGAAGAGAUAAGUGCUGAAAGCAUCUAAGCACGAAACUUGCCCCGAGAUGAGUUCUCCCUGAGACUUUAAGUCUCCUGAAGGAACGUUGAAGACGACGACGUUGAUAGGCCGGGUGUGUAAGCGCAGCGAUGCGUUGAGCUAACCGGUACUAAUGAACCGUGAGGCUUAACC
rnacentral:rRNA from 1 species